rnacentral:rRNA from 1 species
GAUGAACUCCAGCUUGCUGGGGGGAUUAGUGGCGAACGGGUGAGUAACACGUGAGUAACCUGCCCUUAACUCUGGGAUAAGCCUGGGAAACUGGGUCUAAUACUGGAUAUUGACUUUUCCUCGCAUGGGGUUUGGUUGAAAGCUUUAGUGGUUUUGGAUGGACUCGCGGCCUAUCAGCUUGUUGGUGAGGUAAUGGCUCACCAAGGCGACGACGGGUAGCCGGCCUGAGAGGGUGACCGGCCACACUGGGACUGAGACACGGCCCAGACUCCUACGGGAGGCAGCAGUGGGGAAUAUUGCACAAUGGGCGAAAGCCUGAUGCAGCGACGCCGCGUGAGGGAUGACGGCCUUCGGGUUGUAAACCUCUUUCAGUAGGGAACAAGGCCACACGUUGUGUGGUUGAGGGUACUUGCAGAAGAAGCACCGGCUAACUACGUGCCAGCAGCCGCGGUAAUACGUAGGGUGCAAGCGUUAUCCGGAAUUAUUGGGCGUAAAGAGCUCGUAGGCGGUUUGUCGCGUCUGCCGUGAAAGUCCGGGGCUCAACCCCGGAUCUGCGGUGGGUACGGGCAGACUAGAGUGAUGUAGGGGAGACUGGAAUUCCUGGUGUAGCGGUGAAAUGCGCAGAUAUCAGGAGGAACACCGAUGGCGAAGGCAGGUCUCUGGGCAUUAACUGACGCUGAGGAGCGAAAGCAUGGGGAGCGAACAGGAUUAGAUACCCUGGUAGUCCAUGCCGUAAACGUUGGGCACUAGGUGUGGGGGACAUUCCACGUUUUCCGCGCCGUAGCUAACGCAUUAAGUGCCCCGCCUGGGGAGUACGGCCGCAAGGCUAAAACUCAAAGGAAUUGACGGGGGCCCGCACAAGCGGCGGAGCAUGCGGAUUAAUUCGAUGCAACGCGAAGAACCUUACCAAGGCUUGACAUAAACUGGAAACGCUUGGAAACAAGUGCCCCGCUUGCGGUCGGUUUACAGGUGGUGCAUGGUUGUCGUCAGCUCGUGUCGUGAGAUGUUGGGUUAAGUCCCGCAACGAGCGCAACCCUCGUUCUAUGUUGCCAGCACGUAAUGGUGGGGACUCAUAGGAGACUGCCGGGGUCAACUCGGAGGAAGGUGAGGACGACGUCAAAUCAUCAUGCCCCUUAUGUCUUGGG